ACAAAUCCUCUUGGAACAGAGCAAGGGUUCUAUAUAUCAGCAGACUUAAAAUUCUGCCCUCUCCGGGAAGUCCUUACCAAGUCUUCUAAAAUCUCCUUUAUUACUUCUUCGAUACAUUGCAAUGCCCAUCUGUUCCUUCCCACUGCUUACAGGGAGCAGCUACUUCGCAGACGUAACAAAAACACUGCAUCAGACAUAAACAACUGUCAGAUGUUGCUGAGACUUCUGAAGGGUACCCGUGAAUCAAGUAUGUACAAUUCUCAUUUAACUUUCGGAAGCAUGCUUUGCAAUGUCUUACGAUAUCUAAAAUCAUGAUGAAUUCAGGGUAUUCAUAAGUCCUCUAUUUUGAGCAUUUUUUUUUAUCAGUACACCAAAAUGUACUGAAGAUGCUGUCCAGUGUGCAAUUUAUGAGAGGAUAACUGGCGUUAUCCGCAAGCAAGCAAGCAGUUUAUUUUGGAGCAUAUUCUAAGGUACGUCGAGCUUUAUUCCUUCAACUUUAUGUGGCUAUGGCAAAAUCUUUGUAUUUUAGUCCCCUUUUUCUUCAUAAAGCAAAUGCAAGCAUGCAAUGUUCAUAUGUCCUGUAUGUUUCCUUUAUUAAACAUAUUAGAUGAGUCCAAAGGGCAAAGGAUUAUAGUAGUAAACUUACCAUGAUAUCAAUGGAUGAUUCAUUGUCAUAAAAAGUGCAGCAAGUUUAGAAUUUAGAUUGCCUCCCCAAGUUAGC
rnacentral:lncRNA from 1 species